AAGCUCGUAGUUGAAUUUCGGGAUCAAUAUUUCGGUCAUGCCGUUGGUAUGCACUGUUAUAAUUGAUUUCUCACCUUCUAAAGAACCGUAAUGCCAUUAAUUUAGUGUUACGGGGAAUUAGGACUGUUACCUUGAAAAAAUUAGAGUGUUUAAAGCAGGCUCACGCUUGAAUACAUUAGCAUGGAAUAAUGAAAUAGGACAUCCGAUUCUAUUUUGUUGGUUUCUAGGAUCGAUGUAAUGAUUAAUAGGGAUAGUUGGGGGCAUUAGUAUUCAAUUGUCAGAGGUGAAAUUCUUGGAUUUAUUGAAGACUAACUACUGCGAAAGCAUUUGCCAAGGAUGUUUUCAUUAAUCAAGAACGAAAGUUAGGGGAUCGAAGACGAUCAGAUACCGUCGUAGUCUUAACCAUAAACUAUGCCGACUAGGGAUCGGAUGAUGUUAAUUUUUUAAUGACUCAUUCGGCGCCUUUCGGGAAACCAAAGUGUUUGGGUUCCGGGGGGAGUAUGGUCGCAAGGCUGAAACUUAAAGGAAUUGACGGAAGGGCACCACCAGGGGUGGAGCCUGCGGCUUAAUUUGACUCAACACGGGGAAACUCACCAGGUCCAGUCAUAGUAAGGAUUGACAGAUUGAGAGCUCUUUCUUGAUUCUAUGGGUG
rnacentral:rRNA from 1 species